UGGGCAACCUGAGUGCCAUUUUAGCAAAAGACGUUGCUGAGACACUCAGUCUGUGUAUCUGUGUAGAGAGGCUGCGAAAGAGGCAGUGGAAAAGGCAGCACCCUUCCAUGGCCUCCUCAACGCUGGCAAUGACAUAAUCACUUCCAUUGGUGAGAUAGUCACAUAACAUCCUUAGAUGAUUUCCCGUUGGAUAAUCACUGUCUGGGCAUGGCACAAGGAUGCACAGCCAUCUCUGCC
rnacentral:lncRNA from 1 species